GGAAAUAAAAGUAAGUGUUCCAACCACUCAACGAAAAGAUGAUAAAUACCUAUGAAGAUUGCAACGACGGAAAGGUCCGUCAAGCUCCGACAAUCCAAAUCGAGAUCAUCAAGUUGUACCCAAGUCUAUUGGUGCAGCCUUACGUGUCGGUGUAUUCGUUAAAUAGACCGAAGAUACUUUUUGUUUUGACCAGAGGAGAAGUUCACGGUGGCUCCGACGUAAUAUCUAGAUUAUUCGAUAAGGUUUUGGAAGGGAACACCCCAGGCUCUGAUUUUCCCUGGUAAAAGGUAAAACGUCGCUGAGUCGCUGAGAAAGGCCAAGAAAGAAGUCCAUCCAGUUCCAAAUGACGAUGAAAAGAGAGGAGGUAGUUGAUGGUGUCAAAGGGGAGUAGUGGCCAUGCGUCUGAGGGAUAAGGCUAAAGCACAUCAGAGUUUGGAUGGCGACAAACAUAAAAAGAAAGCACUUUUAGGGUUGACAGAGGAGUGAAAAUUCAUGAGCAUGGUUGAUGCAACCAAUGCUAAGAUUAAUGGUUGAUGAGCAUGGUUAAUG